rnacentral:rRNA from 1 species
UGUUUGAAACUUACUACCUUGAAUGUACUUGAUCUCAGAAGCUAAGCAGGAUUGGGCAUGGUUAGUACUUGGAUGGGAGACCAUCUUCUGUUUCCUCAAAGCUAAAAUAGAUCUGAGACCAGUUCUUCUAAACAC